rnacentral:rRNA from 1 species
CAUUAUACAGCGAAACUGCGAAUGGCUCAUUAUAUAAGUUAUCGUUUAUUUGAUAGUACCUUACUACUUGGAUAACCGUGGUAAUUCUAGAGCUAAUACAUGCUAAAAAUCCCGACUUCGGAAGGGAUGUAUUUAUUAGAUUAAAAACCAAUGCCCUCUGGGCUCCUUGGUGAUUCAUAAUAACUUUUCGAAUCGCAUGGCCUUGCGCCGGCGAUGGUUCAUUCAAAUUUCUUCCCUAUCAACUUUCGAUGUUUGGGUAUUGGCCAAACAUGGUCGCAACGGGUAACGGAGGGUUAGGGCUCGACCCCGGAGAAGGAGCCUGAGAAACGGCUACUACAUCCAAGGAAGGCAGCAGGCGCGCAAAUUACCCAAUCCCGAUUCGGGGAGGUAGUGACAAUAAAUACUGAUACAGGGCUCUUUUGGGUCUUGUAAUUGGAAUGAGUACAAUUUAAAUCCCUUAACGAGGAACAAUUGGAGGGCAAGUCUGGUGCCAGCAGCCGCGGUAAUUCCAGCUCCAAUAGCGUAUAUUAAAGUUGUUGUGGUUAAAAAGCUCGUAGUUGAACCUUGGGCCUGGCUGGCCGGUCCGCCUCACCGCGUGUACUGGUCCGGCCGGGCCUUUCCCUCUGUGGAACCUCAUGCCCUUCACUGGGUGUGGCGGGGAAACAGGACUUUUACUUUGAAAAAAUUAGAGUGCUCCAGGCAGGCCUAUGCUCGAAUACAUUAGCAUGGAAUAAUGAAAUAGGACGUGUGGUUCUAUUUUGUUGGUUUCUAGGACCGCCGUAAUGAUUAAUAGGGACAGUCGGGGGCAUCAGUAUUCAAUUGUCAGAGGUGAAAUUCUUGGAUUUAUUGAAGACUAACUACUGCGAAAGCAUUUGCCAAGGAUGUUUUCAUUAAUCAGGAACGAAAGUUAGGGGAUCGAAGACGAUCAGAUACCGUCGUAGUCUUAACCAUAAACUAUGCCGACUAGGGAUCGGACGAUGUUAUUUUUUGACGCGUUCGGCACCUUACGAGAAAUCAAAGUGCUUGGGCUCCAGGGGGAGUAUGGUCGCAAGGCUGAAACUUAAA